rnacentral:rRNA from 1 species
AGUACGGCGAGUGAAGCGGUAAAAGCUCAAAUUUGAAAUCUGGUACUUUCAGUGCCCGAGUUGUAAUUUGUAGAAUUUGUCUUUGAUUAGGUCCUUGUCUAUGUUCCUUGGAACAGGACGUCAUAGAGGGUGAGAAUCCCGUUUGGCGAGGAUACCUUUUCUCUGUAAGACUUUUUCGAAGAGUCGAGUUGUUUGGGAAUGCAGCUCAAAGUGGGUGGUAAAUUCCAUCUAAAGCUAAAUAUUGGCGAGAGACCGAUAGCGAACAAGUACAGUGAUGGAAAGAUGAAAAGAACUUUGAAAAGAGAGUGAAAAAGUACGUGAAAUUGUUGAAAGGGAAGGGCAUUUGAUCAGACAUGGUGUUUUUUGCAUGCACUCGCCUCUCGUGGGCUUGGGCCUCUCAAAAAUUUCACUGGGCCAACAUCAAUUCUGGCAGCAGGAUAAAUCAUUAAGAAUGUAGCUACUUCGGUAGUGUUAUAGCUUUUUGGAAUACUGUUAGCCGGGAUUGAGGACUGCGCUUCGGCAAGGAUGUUGGCAUAAUGGUUAAAUGCCGCCCGUCUUGAACCACGGACCAA